UACAGAGGUGGCAAGCGUUGUUCGGAAUUACUGGGCGUAAAGGGCGCGUAGGCGGCCUUCUAAGUCAGACGUGAAAUCCCCCGGCUUAACCUGGGAACUGCGUCUGAUACUGGAAGGCUUGAGUGCGGGAGAGGGAUGUGGAAUUCCAGGUGUAGCGGUGAAAUGCGUAGAUAUCUGGAGGAACACCCGGUGGCGAAGGCGGCAUCCUGGACCGACACUGACGCUGAGGCG
rnacentral:rRNA from 1 species